rnacentral:miRNA from 1 species
UUGGCAGUGUCUCGAGGCAUAGU